AUUGAACGCUGGCGGCAGGCCUAACCCAUGCAAGUCGAACGAGUGGCGGACGGGUGAGUAAUGUCUGGGAAACUGCCCGAUGGAGGGGGAUAACUACUGGAAACGGUAGCUAAUACCGCAUACCAUCGGAUGUGCCCAGAUGGGAUUAGCUAGUAUGUGGGGUAACGGCUCACCUCGGCGACGAUCCCUAGCUGGUCUGAUAGGAUGACCAGCAACACUGGAACGGAGACACGGUCCAGACUCCUACGGGAGGCAGCAGUGGGGAAUAUGGCACAAUGGGAGCAAGCCUGAUGCAGACAUGCGGCGUGUAUGAAGAAGGCCUUCGGGUUGUAAAGUACUUUCAGCGAGGAGGCGUUACUCGCAGAAGAAGCACCGGCUAACGCCGUGCCAGCCGCCGCGGUAAUAC
rnacentral:rRNA from 1 species